rnacentral:rRNA from 1 species
AUGGCGAUCCACAGCGAGCCCUCUUCCUCCGAUGCGAGCGGGAAGAAGGACUACUCCAUGGCGAUUCUGGCGAGAAAGAAGUCGCCGAACCGGCUGGUGGUCGACGAGGCCACCGGCGACGAGAACUCCGCCGUCGCUCUGCACCCGGACACCAUGGACAGGCUGCAGCUCUUCUGUGGCGACACCGUCCUGCUCAAGGGCAAGAAGCGGAAAGACACGAUCUGCAUUAUGCUUCCAGACGACACAUGCGACAAGACCAAGAUCCGGAUGAACAAGGUCGUCAGGAAGAACUUGAGGGUCCGGCUCGGCGACGUCGUCUCUGUUCAUCAGUGCCCGGACGUCAAAUUCGGGAAUCGCGUGCACAUACUUCCCGUCGACGACACGGUCGAAGGAAUCACCGGAAGCAUGUUCGAUGCCUUCCUGAAACCAUACUUUCUCGAAGCCUAUCGACCCGUCAGAAAAGGGGACCUUUUCCUUGUGAGAGGCGGAAUGACAAGCGUGGAGUUCAAAGUUAUCGAGACUGACCCUGCAGAGUACUGCAUCGUCGCACCUGACACGGAGAUAUUCUACGAUGGCGAGCCUGUCAGGAGGGAGGAUGAGGAGAAGCUGGACGACGUCGGCUACGACGAUGUCGGUGGAGUCAGGAAGCAGAUGGCCCAGAUCAGAGAGUUGGUUGAGCUCCCACUGCGCCAUCCCCAGCUCUUCAAGUCCAUUGGUGUGAAGCCUCCAAAGGGCAUCUUGCUGUAUGGGCCACCUGGGACUGGCAAGACCCUCAUUGCUAGAGCUGUGGCUAAUGAAACAAGCGCCUUCUUCUUCCUGAUCAAUGGCCCGGAGAUCAUGUCGAAGCUGGCCGGAGAAAGCGAGAGCAACCUCAGAAAGGCGUUUGAGGAGGCCGAGAAGAACGCGCCGGCCAUCAUCUUCAUCGAUGAGAUUGAUUCCAUAGCCCCAAAGAGAGAAAAGACCAACGGAGAAGUCGAAAGGCGUAUUGUUUCACAGCUGCUCACUCUUAUGGACGGGCUUAAAUCACGUGCACAUGUUAUUGUUAUGGGUGCUACGAACCGCCCAAAUAGCAUCGACCCUGCUCUCAGAAGAUUUGGUAGGUUUGACCAGGAGAUCGACAUUGGGGUCCCUGAUGAAGUUGGACGGCUUGAGGUUCUCCGGAUUCACACUAAAAACAUGAAGCUUGCUGAAGAUGUUGAGCUGGAGCAUGUUUCGAGGGACACUCAUGGGUAUGUCGGUGCCGAUCUCGCUGCCCUUUGUACUGAGGCUGCUCUCCAGUGCAUUCGUGAGAAGAUGGAUGUUAUAGACCUCGAGGAUGACACCAUUGAUGCGGAGAUACUGAAUUCCAUGGCUGUCACGAACGACCAUUUCAAGAUUGCACUAGGGACAAGCAACCCAUCUGCUCUUCGUGAAACUGUUGUUGAAGUUCCAAAUGUCUCUUGGGAGGAUAUUGGUGGCCUGGAGGGUGUCAAAAGGGAGCUGCAGGAGACCGUCCAGUAUCCGGUGGAGCAUCCAGAGAAAUUUGAGAAGUUUGGUAUGUCUCCGUCGAAAGGUGUUCUCUUCUAUGGACCUCCGGGCUGUGGUAAGACCUUGUUGGCCAAGGCAAUUGCUAACGAGUGCCAGGCUAACUUUAUCAGCAUCAAAGGACCGGAGCUGCUUACCAUGUGGUUUGGUGAGAGUGAGGCCAAUGUGCGUGAGAUUUUCGACAAGGCUAGGGGGUCGGCGCCAUGUGUCCUCUUCUUUGAUGAGCUUGACUCAAUUGCCACUCAGAGAGGGAACAGUGUUGGUGAUGCCGGAGGUGCCGCCGAUAGAGUGCUGAAUCAGCUUCUUACCGAGAUGGACGGAAUGAAUGCCAAGAAAACUGUGUUCAUCAUCGGUGCUACCAACAGGCCAGACAUCAUAGACCCUGCCUUGCUUAGGCCUGGGCGCCUUGAUCAGCUUAUCUACAUUCCUCUGCCUGAUGUUGAAUCCAGGCUCCAGAUCUUCAGAGCCUGCCUCAGGAAGUCUCCCGUGGCCAAAGAUGUUGACUUGAAUGCUCUCGCCAAAUACACACAGGGGUUCAGCGGUGCAGAUAUCACUGAAAUCUGCCAGCGUGCAUGCAAAUAUGCCAUCAGAGAGAACAUUGAAAAGGACAUGGAAAAGGAGAGGAGGCGGAAGGAAAACCCUGAAGCCAUGGAGGAAGACGAUGUGGAUGAGGUCGCUGAGAUCAAGGCUGCUCACUUCGAGGAGAGCAUGAGGUAUGCACGCCGGAGUGUUAGUGAUGCUGAUAUUCGCAAAUACCAGGCCUUUGCUCAGACGCUGCAGCAGUCCCGUGGUUUUGGCAGUGAGUUCCGAUUCCCUGACCAGCCGAUGGCGGGUGCUACCGCUGCAACCGAUCCUUUUGCAUCCGCUGCCAGGGCAGCUGAAGACGAUGAUUUGUACAGUUAA